CCAUCUGAUUACCGAAGUCAAGCAACGUCGAGCCUGGUCAGUACAUAGCUGGGUGACCGCUUGUGAAUACUAAGUGCUGUAAU